rnacentral:tRNA from 1 species
CAUUAAGAAGCUAAAUCGGGAUAAGCGGCAGCCUUUUAAGCUGCAGACUGGUGACCCCCAACCACCCUUAGUGA